rnacentral:rRNA from 1 species
GACGAACGCUGGCGGCGUGCCUAAUACAUGCAAGUCGAACGCUUCUUUCCUCCCGAGUGCUUGCACUCCAUUGGAAAGAGGAGUGGCGGACGGGUGAGUAACACGUGGGUAACCUACCCAUCAGAGGGGGAUAACACUUGGAAACAGGUGCUAAUACCGCAUAACAGUUUAUGCCGCAUGGCAUAAGAGUGAAAGGCGCUUUCGGGUGUCGCUGAUGGAUGGACCCGCGGUGCAUUAGCUAGUUGGUGAGGUAACGGCUCACCAAGGCCACGAUGCAUAGCCGACCUGAGAGGGUGAUCGGCCACACUGGGACUGAGACACGGCCCAGACUCCUACGGGAGGCAGCAGUAGGGAACCUUCGGCAAUGGACGAAAGUCUGACCGAGCAACGCCGCGUGAGUGAAGAAGGUUUUCGGAUCGUAAAACUCUGUUGUUAGAGAAGAACAAGGACGUUAGUAACUGAACGUCCCCUGACGGUAUCUAACCAGAAAGACACGGCUAACUACGUG